rnacentral:rRNA from 1 species
CCUACGGGAGGCAGCAGUGGGGAAUUUUGGACAAUGGGCGCAAGCCUGAUCCAGCAAUGCCGCGUGCAGGAUGAAGGCCUUCGGGUUGUAAACUGCUUUUGUACGGAGCGAAACGGUCUACUCUAAUACAGUGGGCUAAUGACGGUACCGUAAGAAUAAGCACCGGCUAACUACGUGCCAGCAGCCGCGGUAAUACGUAGGGUGCGAGCGUUAAUCGGAAUUACUGGGCGUAAAGCGUGCGCAGGCGGUCAUAUAAGACAGAUGUGAAAUCCCCGGGCUCAACCUGGGACCUGCAUUUGUGACUGUAUAGCUAGAGUGCGGCAGAGGGGGAUGGAAUUCCGCGUGUAGCAGUGAAAUGCGUAGAUAUGCGGAGGAACACCGAUGGCGAAGGCAAUCCCCUGGGCCUGCACUGACGCUCAUGCACGAAAGCGUGGGGAGCAAACAGGAUUAGAUACCCUGGUAGUCCACGCCCUAAACGAUGUCAACUGGUUGUUGGGUCUUCCACUGACUCAGUAACGAGCUACGCGUGAAGUUGACCGCGUGGGGAGGUACGGCCGCGAGUAGUAACGUACGAAGAAGUAGACGGCGUGAGGACGNGCCGACGGCGACGACGAGGGGAGGUAGG